rnacentral:rRNA from 1 species
UACGGAAGGUCCGGGCGUUAUCCGGAUUUAUUGGGUUUAAAGGGAGCGCAGGCCGUCCUUUAAGCGUGCUGUGAAAUGCCGCGGCUCAACCGUGGCACUGCAGCGCGAACUGGAGGACUUGAGUACGCACGAGGUAGGCGGAAUUCGUGGUGUAGCGGUGAAAUGCUUAGAUAUCACGAAGAACUCCGAUUGCGAAGGCAGCUUACCGGAGCGCAACUGACGCUGAGGCUCGAAAGCGCGGGUAUCGAACAGGAUUAGAUACCCUGGUAGUCCGCGCGGUAAACGAUGGAUGCCCGCCAUUGGGUUUUAGAAUUCAGCGGCCAAGCGAAAGCGUUAAGCAUCCCACCUGGGGAGUACGCCGGCAACGGUGAA